AACGGUCUAUACCUGCGGUACCUGCGGAAGGAUCAUUACCGAGUUUACAACUCCCAAACCCAUGUGAACAUACCUAUCGUUGCUUCGGCGGGAUCGCCCCGGGCGCCUUGUGUGCCCCGGAUCCAGGCACCCGCCGGGGGACCUUAACUCUUGUUUUAUUUAGAAUCUUCUGAGUAGUUUUUACAAAUAAAUAAAAACUUUUAACAAUGGAUCUCU
rnacentral:misc_RNA from 1 species